CCUACGGGGGGCUGCAGUGGGGAAUAUUGGACAAUGGGGGGAACCCUGAUCCAGCCAUGCCGCGUGUGUGAAGAAGGCCCUCGGGUUGGAAAGCACUUUCAGUGAGGAAGAACGCCUGGUGGUUAAUACCCAUCAGGAAAGACAUCACUCACAGAAGAAGCACCGGCUAACUCCGUGCCAGCAGCCGCGGUAAUACGGAGGGUGCGAGCGGUAAUCGGAAUUACUGGGCGUAAAGCGCGCGUAGGUGGCUUGAUAAGCCGGUUGUGAAAGCCCCGGGCUCAACCUGGGAACGGCAUCCGGAACUGUCAAGCUAGAGUGCAGGAGAGGAAGGUAGAAUUCCCGGUGUAGCGGUGAAAUGCGUAGAGAUCGGGAGGAAUACCAGUGGCGAAGGCGGCCUUCUGGACUGACACUGACACUGAGGUGCGAAAGCGUGGGUAGCAAACAGGAUUAGAUACCCUUGUAGUC
rnacentral:rRNA from 1 species